UUACCAAGAUACCAUCACUCAGCCACACCCUACCACAUUUCAUCCCCUUCAACGUAACAAAUUUCAGAAAUAAAAAAUCAGAGAGAGGAGAGUGAUGUAGAGGAGUAGAGAUAUUGCAAGAGGACGCCGCUGCUGUCGCUGUGGGUCGUUUCUACCAUCCCCGCCGUCGCCCUUGGAGACCGUUCUUGCUGCAACUAAAGCUUCCACUGUCGCUGUCGGGUUACUCCUGUCAUAGAGCCUUCAAUGUUGCCACUAUCCACCCCUGAAAGGGGAUCUCAUCGCCGCACUCUGCUGCCAUGAAGCCGUCGCGUCUUGCCGCCAAGGGUUCUGUCGCCGUUGCGCCUUACCUCUGUCACUACUAAUCCACCGCCACUACUACCAGGUCCCGUUGCCAUCAUCAUCGCAGACAGAAAAGGGGGAAAACGAACAGAAUGUGAGGGGGAGGAGGAGUUCUCAUCGUUGUUGUACGCCCAAUUAUCGCUGCUGCUUCCAAUCCCACCGUUGCUGUUGCGCCGCCGCCUCCGGAGUUCGUCGCCAUCGCCAAGGUCCGUUGUGAAGAGUAACGCGAAUGGAAAAGAAAACAAGAAAGCUGCUAAUAGGGAUUUGGGAAAAUGGCUCUGUUUUGCCUCUGUCUCUAGGUUUCACAAGUUGCCAGAGUCCUCAGCUUUGAUAGAUCCCUUGAAGACUCCCUUAAAUUGGAGGAUGAGGUUGCAGAUUGCUAAUGAAGUUGUAGCAGCACUACUGCAGAAGUACUUGUUUCUUUUUAAUGAUCCACUGGCAUAUCAUGUCUCCAUCAGCUCAAGAAAUAUUAUGUUAGAUGAGAACUUUGUAGCUAAAUUAUUAGAUUUUGGCCUUCUUACACCCAGUGCAAACUCUAUCAUGAUGCCGAAUUCAGGAGGUCCUUAUCUCUCAACAGAAAACAAAACAGGUUAUAUACAUUAGAGAUGUUGAGAGGCUUAGCUUGUUCUACAAUCACCACGGUUAUACAACUUGAUACAUAAUGCUUCACUAUUUUUGAAUGGAGAUGUAUGAACAUAAUGGAGUUUGUAAUUUUUAGUUUAUAUUUUGGAGUUUUAUAAUUCCUUGUUUUUCUUGUCCUAUGUAUCUAUCUAGUUCAUUAGGGUUUUUCAA